GAUGAAGAACGUAGCGAAAUGCGAUAAGUAGUGUGAAUUGCAGAAUUCAGUGAAUCAUCGAAUCUUUGAACGCACAUUGCGCCCCUUGGUAUUCCAUGGGGCAUGCCUGUUCGAGCGUCAUUUGUACCUUCAAGCUUUGCUUGGUGUUGGGUGUUUGUCCCGAGGGACUCGCCUUAAAGUAAUUGGCAGCCAGUGUUUGGUUUUGAAGCGCAGCACAAGUCGCGAUUCAAGGCUACACGCCCGCUUCCACAAGCCUUUUCUCACUUUUGACCUCGGAUCAGGUAGGGAUACCCGCUGAACUUAAGCAUAUCAAUAGCGGAGGA
rnacentral:misc_RNA from 1 species